rnacentral:tRNA from 1 species
CAGGACAUAGUUUAAUUUAAAAGAGCAUCGGCUUUGGGUGCCGGCGGUGUGAGUGUAAGUCUCGCUGUCCUGA